GAGGGGAAUAUUUUGUUUGGUUUGUUAUAUAAUAAGAUUAUCCAUUUGAUCAUUAUAUUUCAAUAUUGUUUUAUUGGUACUUACAUCGAUUUUGUUAUUAAUAACUUAACAUACGAUUAAAAAUAUAUUCCUAUCCAGUAAUGAAUACCUACUUUACAUCCUGUCGAUACAUUCAUUUAUGUAUAGGGGAAAUUCGUGUAAAUACGGACGGCGCCUAAUUGCGGACGGAAUAUGAAGUCCCCGUCUUAUGAAAUAAAUAAAAUUGUAGUGAAUGUGUUUUCUUUUCUUUUUUUAACUAUAUGGUUGUUGACUUAUUCUGUUUAAAAUAACAAAGUGAAUACAUUUAAUUGCAUAUCAUGUGAUUUAAAACUGACAUUGUACUAGGUAUUUUUUUCCAGAACCGUUGGAGAUGUCUUUACACUGAAGCAAUGGAUGUGUCCGGGUCGAUUUAAGUCAGGAAACAUGAUCUAUAGAUCAAUUGUAGAUAACUUUGAAAUUGAUUUCAGUAACUACACGUAUUCUUGGAAUGGUAGUUAAUAUCUUAAGUCCUUUUGUAUUUUUUUUUCUGGGAAUUUGUCAAUCUGAUUGAUCAAGCUUUUUCCAUUUUUUUUAUAAUGGUUUAUUAUUGAGUGAUGUUCUUCCAUAAAGCGAUUAGAAACAUGUUUAACCCCGUCACAAUAUAUAUUUCUUUGUCCCUAGUGAGGAGCCUGUAAUUCAGUGAUAGCCCUAUGGUAAAGUUGUCUCAUUAGCAAUGACACUACAUGUUAUUUAUAAUUACUUUCGAGUACAAUUAGAUGAUACUUUUCACGAACACAGACAAUUUAACAGAGAAUUCGUCCAUUGAUGUGUUAUCGUAGAAAUGAUACGGAAUCACAUAUUUGUAUUUUGUUCAAUGUUUUCUAUUUAUUUUUUUAAAUCUGAAUAUUUUUUGU
rnacentral:lncRNA from 1 species